GUGCUUGUGGUGUAGUGGUUAUCACAUCCGCCUAACACGCGGAAAGGGUCCCAGGUUCGAUCCCUGGCAGGGCACA